rnacentral:rRNA from 1 species
GUCUGCAGCCAUACAUGAAUUUAGGUAGUGAUCUUGUCAGAUCUUGCAAGUAAUGGGUCAGUCCUGGUUAGUAUUUGGGUGUAAGCCAUCUAUGGAAAACCCAUGGUGCUUUAGGUG